rnacentral:rRNA from 1 species
UACGUAGGGUGCAAGCGUUGUCCGGAAUUAUUGGGCGUAAAGAGCUCGUAGGCGGUCUGUCGCGUCGGCUGUGAAAACCCGGAGCUCAACUCCGGGCCUGCAGUCGAUACGGGCAGACUAGAGUUCGGUAGGGGAGUCUGGAAUUCCUGGUGUAGCGGUGAAAUGCGCAGAUAUCAGGAGGAACACCGGUGGCGAAGGCGGGACUCUGGGCCGAUACUGACGCUGAGGAGCGAAAGCGUGGGGAGCAAACAGG